UACGGAGGGUGCGAGCGUUGUCCGGAAUCAUUGGGCGUAAAGCGCGCGUAGGCGGCCCCGUAAGUCCGCUGUGAAAGUCAAAGGCUCAACCUUUGAAAGCCGGUGGAUACUGUGGGGCUAGAGUCCGGAAGAGGCGAGUGGAAUUCCUGGUGUAGCGGUGAAAUUCGUAGAUAUCAGGAGGAACACCAGUGGCGAAGGCGGCUUCCUGGACAAUAACUGACGCUGAGACGCGAAAGCGUGGGGAGCAAACAGG
rnacentral:rRNA from 1 species